rnacentral:rRNA from 1 species
GACGGAGGAUGCAAGUGUUAUCCGGAAUCACUGGGCGUAAAGCGUCUGUAGGUGGUUCGAAAAGUCCACUGUUAAAAAUUGAGGCUUAACUUCAAAGAUGCCGUGGAAACUUUCCAACUAGAGUAUGGUAGGGGUAGAGGGAAUUUCCAGUGGAGCGGUGAAAUGCGUAGAUAUUGGAAAGACCACCGAUGGCGAAGGCACUCUACUGGGCCACUACUGACACUGAGAGACGAAAGCUAGGGGAGCAAAUGGG